CCUACGGGUGGCAGCAGUGGGGAAUAUUGCACAAUGGGCGAAAGCCUGAUGCAGCAACGCCGCGUGAGCGAUGAAGGCCUUCGGGUCGUAAAGCUCUGUCAUCAAGGAAGAUAAUGACGGUACUUGAGGAGGAAGCCCCGUCUAACUACGUGCCAGCAGCCGCGGUACUACGAGGGGGGCUAGCGUUAUCCGGAAUUACUGGGCGUAACGGGUGCGUAGGUGGGUUCUUAAGUCAGAGGUGAAAGGCUACGGCUAAACCGUAGUAAGCCUUUGAAAAUGGGGAACUUGAGUGCAGGAGAGGAGAGUGGAAUUCGUGGUGUAGCGGUGAAAUGCGUAGAUAUUAGGAGGAACACCAGUUGCGAAGGCGGCUCUCUGGACUGUAACUGACGCUGAGGCAUGAAAGCGUGGGGAGCAAACAGGAUUAGAUACCCGAGUAGUC
rnacentral:rRNA from 1 species